UUGAGUGGUUGUUUGUUUGUUUGGGAUUUCCUCUGGUGGAGUUGUGGAUUGAUCAUUUAUCUUUCGUUUGGCGUUAUUUGCGUCUUUCUAUCCUUAUUCAAUUUUGAGCUAUUUCAACUUUUAUCGACAUUUUUCAUUCAGGUUUUUAAGUUUCUGGGGUCGUUCUACUAGGUUCGGGGGUGUUUUUCUCUGCUUUAUGUUUGUUUGUUUGGGAUGCGCUCUUGUGUGUUUGUAGAGAAUUUAAUCCUCUUUCUACUGGCACUAUCUGCAUGUUCCUAUCUUUAUCCAAUUUUGUGGUAUGUCCAUUUUUAUCAACAUUUUUCAUUCACGUUUUUCAAUUUCCGGGGUCGUUCUACUAGGUUCAAGGGUGUUUUUCUCUGCUUUAUGUUUGUUUGUUUAUAAUGCGCUCUUGUGUAUUUGUAGAGAAUUUAAUCCUCUUUCUACUGGCACUAUCUGCAUGUUCCUAUUUUUAUCCAAUUUUGUGGUAUGCCCAUUUUUAUCAACAUUUUUCAUUCACGUUUUUAAGUUUCUGGGGUCGUUCUACUAGGUUUGGGGGUGUUUUUCUCUGCUUCCUGUUUGUUUGUUUAGGAUGCGCUCUUGUGUAUUUGUAGAGAAUUUAAUCCUCUUUCUACUGGCACUAUCUGCAUGUUCCUAUCUUUAUCCAAUUUUGUGGUAUGCCCAUUUUUAUCAACAUUUUUCAUUCACGUUUUUCAAUUUCCGGGGUCGUUCUACUUGGUUUGGGGGUGUUUUUCUCUGCUUUAUGUUUGUUUGUUUAGGAUGCGCUCUUGUGUAUUUGUAGAGAAUUUAAUCCUCUUUCUUUUGGUGCUAUCUGUAUCUUCCUAUCUUUAUCCAAUUUUGUGGUAUGCCCAUUUUUAUCAACAUUUUUCAUUCACGUUUUUCAAUUUCUGGGGUCGCUCUACCAGGUUUGGGGGUGUUUUUCUCUGCUUUCUGCUUGUUUGUUUGGGAUGUGCUCUUGUGAAUAUGUAGAGAAUUUAAUCCUCUUUCUUUUGGUGCUAUUUGCAUGUUCCUAUCUUUAUCCAAUUUUGUGGUAUGCCCAUUUUUAUCAACAUUUUUCAUUCACGUUUUUCAAUUUCCGGGGUCGCUCUACCAGGUUCAAGGGUGUUUUUCUCUGCUUUAUGUUUGUUUGUGUGGGAUGCGCUCUUGAGUAUUUGUAGAGAAUUUAAUCCUCUUUCUUUUGGUGCUAUUUGCAUGUUCCUAUCUUUAUCCAAUUUUGUGGUAUGCCCAUUUUUAUCAACAUUUUUCAUUUAGGUUUUUAAGUUUCUGGGGUCGUUCUACUAGGUUCGGGGGUGUUUUUCUCUGCUUUAUGUUUGUUUGUUUGGGAUGCGCUCUUGUGUAUUUGUAGAGAAUUUAAUCCUCUUUCUUUUGGUGCUAUCUGUAUGUUCCUAUCUUUAUCCAAUUUUGAGUUACUUCAACUUUUAUCAACAUUUUUCAUUUAGGUUUUUAAGUUUCUGGGGUCGUUCUAAUAGGUUCGGGGGUGUUUUUCUCUGCUUUAUGUUUGUUUGUUUGGGAUGCGCUCUUGUGUAUUUGUAGAGAACUUAACCCUCUUUCUUUUGGUGCUAUCUGUAUCUUCCUAUCUUUAUCCAAUUUUGUGGUAUGCCUAUUUUUAUCAACAUUUUUCAUUCACGUUUUUCAAUUUCUAGGGUCGUUGUACCAGGUUCAAGGAUGUUUUUCUCUACUUUUCGUUUGUUUGUUUGGGAUGCACUCUUGUGUAUUUGUAGAGAAUUUAAUCCUCUUUCUACUGGCACUAUCUGUAUCUUCCUAUCUUUAUCUAAUUUUGUAGUAUGCCCAUUUUUAUUGAAGCUUUUCCCCCAUCUUCCUCCUCCUCGCUGGCGCCAUUUGAGAGCGUAAGUCUUGUAUCGUCGAAUAAGUUUAGCUGAAGGGAGAGAGAGAGAGAGAGAGA